rnacentral:rRNA from 1 species
GUACGGGAGGCAGCAGUGAGGAAUUUUGCGCAAUGGGGGCAACCCUGACGCAGCAACGCCGCGUGGGUGAAGAAGGUCUUCGGAUCGUAAAGCCCUGUCAGGUGGGAAGAAUGUCUUCAAGGUGAACAAUCUUGGAGAGUGACGGUACCACCAGAGGAAGCACCGGCUAACUCCGUGCCAGCAGCCGCGGUAAUACGGAGGGUGCGAGCGUUGUUCGGAAUCAUUGGGCGUAAAGGGCGUGCAGGCGGCUGGGUAAGUCUGAUGUGAAAGCCCGGGGCUCAACCCCGGAAGUGCAUUGGAAACUGUCCAGCUUGAGUACCGGAGAGGAUGGGGGAAUUCCCGGUGUAGAGGUGAAAUUCGUAGAGAUCGGGAGGAAUACCAGUGGCGAAGGCGCCCAUCUGGACGGAUACUGACGCUGAGACGCGAAAGCGUGGGGAGCAAACAGGAUUAGAUACCCCCGUAGUCCG